rnacentral:rRNA from 1 species
ACGAACGCUGGCGGCAUGCCUAACACCUGCAAGUCGAACGAGACCUUCGGGUCUAGUGGCGCACGGGUGCGUAACGCGUGGGAACCUGCCCUUAGGUUCGGAAUAACUCCCCGAAAGGGGUGCUAAUACCGGAUAAUGUCUUCGGACCAAAGAUUUAUCGCCUUUGGAUGGGCCCGCGUUGGAUUAGCUAGUUGGUAGGGUAAAAGCCUACCAAGGCGACGAUCCAUAGCUGGUCUGAGAGGAUGAUCAGCCACACUGGGACUGAGACACGGCCCAGACUCCUACGGGAGGCAGCAGUGGGGAAUAUUGGACAAGGGGCGAAAGCCUGAUCCAGCAAUGCCGCGUGAGUGAUGAAGGCCUUAGGGUUGUAAAGCUCUUUUACCCGGGAUGAUAAUGACAGUACCGGGAGAAUAAGCACCGGCUAACUCCGUG